rnacentral:rRNA from 1 species
CCUACGGGAGACAGCAGUGAGGAAUAUUGGUCAAUGGCCGCAGGGCUGAACCAGCAAAGUCGCGGGAGGGAUGACGGUCCUAUGGAUUGUAAACCUCUUUGGUCAGGGAGCAAAGGGCGCCACGUUUGGAGUUUUGCGCGUACCUGAAGAAAAAGCAUCGGCUAACUCCGUGCCAGCAGCCGCGGUAAUCCGGGGGAUGCGAGGGUUAUCCGGAUUGAUGGGGUUUAAAGGGUGCGCAGGCGGAAUGUCAAGUCAGCGGUAAAAUUUCGGGGCUCAACCCCGUCGUGCAGUUGAAACUGGCGGUCUGGAGUGAGCGAGAAGUAUGCGGAAUGCGUGGUGUAGCGGUGAAAUGCAUAGAUAUCACGAAGAACUCCGAUUGCGAAGGCAGCAUACCGGAGCUUAACUGACGCUCAUGCACGAAAGCGUGGGUAUCGAACAGGAUUAGAUACCCGGGUAGUC